rnacentral:rRNA from 1 species
UAGAGUUUGAUCAUGGCUCAGGAUGAACGCUAGCGGCAGGCCUAACACAUGCAAGUCGAGGGGUAACAUAAGGUGCUUGCACUUUGAUGACGACCGGCGCACGGGUGAGUAACGCGUAUACAAUCUGCCUCAUACUAGGGAAUAGCCCAGAGAAAUUUGGAUUAAUGCCCUAUAGUAUCAUUAAGAGUCAUCUCUUUUUGGUUAAAGGUUACGGUAUGAGAUGAGUAUGCGUUCUAUUAGUUAGUAGGUGAGGUAACGGCUCACCUAGACUGCGAUAGAUAGGGGCCCUGAGAGGGGGAUCCCCCACACUGGUACUGAGACACGGACCAGACUCCUACGGGAGGCAGCAGUGAGGAAUAUUAGACAAUGGGCGAAAGCCUGAUCUAGCCAUGCCGCGUGCAGGAUGACGGCCCUAUGGGUUGUAAACUGCUUUUAUACAGGAAGAAAAAACUCUACGUGUAGAGUCUUGACGGUACUGUAAGAAUAAGGAUCGGCUAACUCCGUGCCAGCAGCCGCGGUAAUACGGAGGAUCCAAGCGUUAUCCGGAAUUAUUGGGUUUAAAGGGUCCGUAGGUGGACAAUUAAGUCAGAGGUGAAAUCCUGCAGCUCAACUGUAGAAUUGCCUUUGAAACUGGUUGUCUUGAGUCAUUAUGAAGUGGUUAGAAUGUGUAGUGUAGCGGUGAAAUGCAUAGAUAUUACACAGAAUACCAAUUGCGAAGGCAGAUCACUAAUAAUGUACUGACACUGAUGGACGAAAGCGUGGGUAGCGAACAGGAUUAGAUACCCUGGUAGUCCACGCCGUAAACGAUGGUUACUAGCUGUUCGGACUUCGGUCUGAGUGGCUAAGCGAAAGUGAUAAGUAACCCACCUGGGGAGUACGUUCGCAAGAAUGAAACUCAAAG